GUGCCAGCAGCCGCGGUAAGACAUAAGGGGCAAGUGUUAUCCGGAAUUAUUGGGCGUAAAGGGUGCGUAGGCGGUCUAGUAAGUCAGUGGUGUAAUGGCAACGCUCAACGUUGUCCGGCUAUUGAAACUGCUAAACUUGAGUUAGAUAGAGGCGAGUGGAAUUCCAUGUGUAGCGUAAAAUGCGUAAAUAUAUGGAGGAACACCAGAGGCGUAGGCGGCUCGCUGGGUCUUAACUGACGCUGAGGCACGAAAGCGUGGGGAGCAAACAGGAUUAGAUACCCUGGUAGUCCACGCCGUAAACGAUGAGUACUAAGUGUCGGGUUAAACCGGUACUGAAGUUAACACAUUAAGUACUCCGCCUGAGUAGUACGUACGCAAGUAUGAAACUUAAAGGAAUUGACGGGACUCGCACAAGCGGUGGAUCAUGUUGUUUAAUUCGAAGAUACCCGAAAAACCUUACCAGGUCUUGACAUGUUUUUGCGAAACGGUAGUAAUAUCGUGGAGGUUAUCAGAAACACAGGUGGUGCAUGGUUGUCGUCAGCUCGUGUCGUGAGAUGUUAGGUUAAGUCCUAAAACGAGGCGAAACCCUUAUCGUUAGUUGCCAGCACGUUAUGGUGGGGACUUUAACGAGACUGCCAGUGAUAAAUUGGAGGAAGGUGAGGAUCACGUCAAAUCAGCAUGCCCCUUAUGACCUGGGCUACAAACGUGAUACAAUGGCUGUUACAAAGGGUAGCUGAAACGCAAGUUCUUGGCCAAUCCCCAAAAACAGUCUCAGUCCGGAUUGAAGUCUGCAACUCGACUUCAUGAAGUUGGAAUCGCUAGUAAUCGCGAAUCAGCAUGUCGCGGUGAAUACGUUCUCGGGGUUUGUACACACCGCCCGUCAAACCACGAAAGUUGGCAAUACCCCAAAACGGUAGCCUAACUCGUUUAUCGAGAGGGCGCUGUCUAAGGUAGGGUCGAUGAUUGGGGUUAAGUCGUAACAAGGUAUCCCUACCGGAAGGUGGGGAUGGAUC
rnacentral:rRNA from 1 species